AUGAACGCUGGCGGCAUGCCUAACACAUGCCAGUCGAUCGGUAAGGCUCUUCGGAGUACACGAGAGGCGGACGGCUGAGUAACGCGUAGGAACACACCCUGCAGUGAGGGAUAAGACACCGAAAGGUGUUCUAAUACCGCAUACGGUCUUCGGAUUAAAGCAUUUAUGCGCUGAAGGAGUGGCCUGCGUCAUAUUAGAUAGUUGGUGAGGUAAUGGCUCACCAAGUCGAUGAUGUGUAGCUGGUCUGAGAGGAUGAUCAGCCAGACUGGAACUGAGACACGGUCCAGACUCCUACGGGAGGCAGCAGUGAGGAAUAUUUCACAAUGAGCGAAAGCUUGAUGGAGCAAUGCCGCGUGCAGGAUGAAGGCCCUCGGGUUGUAAACUGCUUUUAUAAGAGAAGAUUAUGACGGUAACUUAUGAAUAAGGGACGGCUAACUACGUG
rnacentral:rRNA from 1 species